CCCCUAGACGUUCUGGGCUGCACGCGCGCUACAAUAGUGCGCACAGCGAGUAUCACCGAGCUCGAAAGGGCAAGGUAAACAAUAGAAAAGGUACUGUAAUGGUUAUAGAUCCUUGUAAUUAUUGAUCUUCAACGAGGAAUUCCUAGUAAGUAUGUGUCAUCAUCACGCACUGAUUACGUCCCUGCCCUUUGUACACACCGCCCGUCGCUCCUACCGAUUGGGUGAGCCGAUGAAACUCUCGGAUGUAGGCUAUUCAUAGCCCGCAGAAGAGAUUUGAAUCGUAGCGCUUAGAGGAAGGAGAAGUCGUAACA
rnacentral:rRNA from 1 species